CCCUGAAGUGAGUGGAUGAGCUCUAGCUUCGUUGUGGGAUCUGGUACUGUAGCAGUGGCACUGAUUUUGAACUCAGGUUUGCUGCUUUCUUCAAGCCUAAAUGAAGGGGAUUUGUAGCUAAGUCUACUGGACUUUGAUGCAGUACCAGCAUGUUCGUUGGACCUAUGUACAGUACAUGGAGGAGGAGGAUUGGAUGAGAAUUAAAAGGCUGCUGUCAGGGUAGUGUCAACAUACUUCCAUGGGAAAUAACGAUGUGUUGCCAAGAGUCUUCCAAUGAGUUGUACAGAGGUGACAUGAAACUGUCUGAGUGUUUUUGGAACUUCUAAAUGGACAGCCCCCAGCACCUUCACUAGAGCAGGACUGUGUGACAGGGUGCUUGAAGCACCCUGCCAUGGACAGAAUGAGAAAGAACCAAAAGAGAAAAACUUACCCUGAGGAGCAGAAGGAGCUGCAACAAACCCGGAGACAUCAAACGCUGCACUUGAAACAACUGGGGGAAUCAGCUGGGGCCAUGGCAGAUCAAAGGCUGCCACAGCAAACCCAGCUACCAGGUUUCAAACCUGAGAAGAGGAAAGUGGCACAGGAAGACAAGAAGGAGAAAAACAAAGAGAGAAACCAUGCUGGAAAGCUAAGGAGGAACAGCUGUGUUGGACAGGCAGCGAAUAGGAAGCUGCCAUGAUGGACCCAGCUGGGGAGAGGGAGAUUUAAGGGACACCG